rnacentral:rRNA from 1 species
AGUGGCGAACGGGUGAGUAACACGUGGGUAACCUGCCCAUCAGAGGGGGAUAACAUUCGGAAACGGAUGCUAAAACCGCAUAGGUUCUACAGUCGCAUGACUGAAGAAGGAAAAGAGGCUUCGGCUUCUGCUGAUGGAUGGACCCGCGGUGCAUUAGCUAGUUGGUGAGGUAACGGCUCACCAAGGCCGUGAUGCAUAGCCGACCUGAGAGGGUGAUCGGCCACAUUGGGACUGAGACACGGCCCAAACUCCUACGGGAGGCAGCAGUAGGGAACCUUCCGCAAUGGACGCAAGUCUGACGGAGCAACGCCGCGUGAGUGAAGAAGGAUUUCGGUUCGUAAAACUCUGUUGUUAGAGAAGAACAGCGCAUAGAGUAACUGUUAUGCGUGUGACGGUAUCUAACCAGAAAGCCACGGCUAACUACGUGCCAGCAGCCGCGGUAAUACGUAGGUGGCAAGCGUUGUCCGGAUUUAUUGGGCGUAAAGCGAGCGCAGGCGGUCAAUUAAGUCUGAUGUGAAAGCCCCCGGCUCAACCGGGGAGGGUCAUUGGAAACUGGUUGACUUGAGUGCAGAAGAGGAGAGUGGAAUUCCAUGUGUAGCAGUGAAAUCCGUAGAUAUUAGAAGGAACACCGAUGGCGUAGGCAGGCUACUGGGCUGUUUCUGACACUGAGGCACGAAAGCGUGGGGAGCGAACCGGAUUAGAUACCCGGGUAGUCCACGCCGUAAACGAUGGAUACUAGCUGUUUGGGGUAUCGACCCCCUGAGUAGCGAAGCUAACGCGUUAAGUAUCCCGCCUGUGGAGUACGAUCGCAAGAUUAAAACAUAAAGGAAUUGACGGGGACCCGCACAAGCGGUGGAUCAUGUUCUUUAAUUCGAUGAUAACCGAUAAACCUUACCAGGUCUUGACAUCCUUGGAAUCUUUCAGAAAUGAGAGAGUGCUUUUUAAGAGCCAAGUGACAGGUGAUGCAUGGCCGUCGUCAGCUCGUGUCGUGAGAUGUUUGGUUAAGUCCAUCAACGAGCGCAACCCUUGUGAAUAGUUGUAUUUUUCUAUUCAGACUGCCCCGGCAACGGGGAGGAAGGAGGGGAUGACGUCAGGUCAGUAUUUCCCUUACGUCCUGGGCUAGAAACGUGAUACAAUGGCUAGUACAAUGCGCAGCGAAGCCGCGAGGUGAAGCAAAUCGCAUCAAAGCUAGUCCCAGUUCGGAUUGUAGGCUGAAACUCGCCUGCAUGAAGUCGGAAUCGCUAGUAAUCGCAGAUCAGCAUGCUGCGGUGAAUACGUUCCCGGGUCU